GCUCCUGGGGGCGCGGGGCGGACCUGAGCCCGCCUAGGGCCGGACCGGACCGGACACCCACAUGGAUCUCAACCCCGCUCCCCCGGGACGCGUUGGUCAGGCACAUUGAGAUGAGUCGGGAGGAAAUGGAGGUCUCGGCUGGGCGCAGCCCCCCUCACCUUCCGGUCCAGGAACUUGGAGUAGAGCUCCAUGUCUUCCUCCCACACCAGGGGCCUCUUGGGGAACGCGAGCGGAGGCUCAAUCUCAUCUGCGUGGGGAAGAAGGCUGCUGACCCCUGCACCCCAGAACCUUCUCCAUACUGUGCUCCCAGGCGCCCAGGCUGGACUUGAGCCAAACCUCAGGAUUCUGCCCACCUGGGCUGAGUUGCAGACAGGGGCUCCUAGCUGCGGAGGCCCGAUCCUGUCUGCCCCAGGGUCUGGGCUGAAGGGCGGCCCUUCUGUCUUCUUGCAGGGCCUGGGCAUCCUAAGUACACUCAUGCUGCCAAACCCAUGGCCCAGGGCCCUGCGUCCCUUCCCCUCCCGGCAGCUGCCCCAGCCCCGGGCUGCACUCACCCUCCUCCCUCAAGAUGGGCAUCUUGGUGAUGACGAAGCACCCUGGGGAGCCCACCUGGACUCUCUUCGCCAGGUGCCUGGGGAACAACGCAAAGGAGGGCAGAGUGAGCCUUCUUCCACCUCGGGCGCCAACCUCUAGCCUCCCCCCUUCUCCCUAUGGGGAUAGGUGUUUAAGGACUGGAUUUAGGUUAAGUGAGGUCGCAAAGGUGGGGUCUUAAUCAGGUGGGGUUGGCAUCCUUGUGAGAAGGGGAAGACACUCUCAGAGAGCUCUCUGUCCACUUGCAUGCAGAAGAAAGGACCCAGGCUUUAGGAGGUGGCUGUCUAGGAAAAAGAGGCCCAGCCAGAAACCAACUCGGCUGACCAUGACCUUGGACUACCAUCCCUGGGAACUGAGAAAGCAGAUAGCUGUUAUUUAAGCAUGCAGGCUGUAGGGGUUUUGGCAGCUAAGACACCAUAGCGCCCCCUUAAGGGCUGUCCUGGACGCCUGUUUACUUUGGCCUCCCCUUCUGGUCUUUUGAGUUCCUGAGUCAUAUUCCAGAUAUUGACACAGGGCUUGGCAAGCAUCAGGGUUCUGCUUUAAAAAAUAAAUAAAUAAACGAGUAAUUUUUUUUUUGUCUUUUUCCUUUUUAUCGGUACCAGGGAUUGAACUCACGACUGCCUGCUUGCAAGGCAGGCGCUUAUGCCAUUGAGCUAAAUUCCCAGCCCCAAUAAACGAGUAAAUUUUUAAAAAGUGCUGAGAUCUUCAGAGGACAGCAUCUUGGUUGAUACUGCUUCUGAAAUUUCAAGUGUUGCACACUAGCAAAAAGAGCUUCGUUAUAUUUGUAUUAUACCAAAAUACCUGUAAUGUGGCCUACUAUUCCAUAUGCGUGUUUCUUUUCCUCUGGGUGACCUAAUUGAUAUGUUAAUCAAUGCUCUCCUCUGUAAAGAAUUGUAAAACCUAACCUAACUGAUAUGUUAACCAUUGUUGCCCUCUACAAAUAACAGAUGUGGUGCUAAAAUAAGCUAACAGGGGUUGUUCAUUACUGCUAGACUGCUCUGUUCUCUUCUAAGGAAAACAAAGUUCUUCCUCAUUAAUAGUUUUCCCGAUCCACACCCAGAACCCCUUACUUUGUAAAUUGUGAUAUGUACUUAAAGGUGGCAAGUAUAGAGGAGCAACACACACCCAGCUUUUGCAAUCUCCAACUGCACUAUGUCGCUGGGCCCAAGAUAAAAUAAAUCAGCACUGCUUUUUAAAAUA